CAGCAGCCGCGGUAAUACGGAGGGGGCUAGCGUUGUUCGGAAUUACUGGGCGUAAAGCGCACGUAGGCGGCUUGGUAAGUUAGAGGUGAAAGCCCGGAGCUCAACUCCGGAAUUGCCUUUAAGACUGCCGAGCUAGUAGGUGAGAGAGGUAAGUGGAAUUCCGAGUGUAGAGGUGAAAUCCGUAGAUAUUCGGAAGAACACCAGUGGCGAAGGCGGCUUACUGGCUCAUUCUAGACGCUGAGGUGCGAAAGCGUGGGGAGCAAACAGGAUUAGAUACCCCCGUAGUCCCUGUCUCUUAUAC
rnacentral:rRNA from 1 species